rnacentral:lncRNA from 1 species
AGCGCUAGAAUAAACACGUCUAUUAAUACCAGCAAAAGUUGUGUUCAGUAUCACACACUGCCAUAUUGUGGCUUUUUCAAUAUUGCAACCGUUUGCAAGCAGUCAAUCCUGACUCAUUAAAUAAACCACGAAUAAGCUUCGCGGUGUUUACUACUUGCACUGACUUCCAGGUAAACAGGUGCAAGUUUAAAGUCUAAGGCUAUAAUCUUACCUUCACUUACCUGAGCACAAGACUCACUGAACGCCAAGUCUCACUUUUCAACACCCCCAAGACUUGAGCUUUGUGCUUCAAGAGACCGAAGCGAGUCGCUUUCUCGCGAACUCAGCGCCACUUUCCCUCCCAAAGGGACGCCAAUACCGGCCCACCGACCAAGAUUGUUGUAAAAAGGAUGCACGACAUUAGCUUGACGGCUUUUGCCAACCGUCCCCUCAUCAUGGAUGAGACUGCACAAAAAUCUCUAGUCCGCAAGGCAACUGGGCGAGGACCGUAGCAAUAAUAUUAAAUCCCACGGCAAACCGGUUUUGUUUUUUUUACGCACCUCACCAAGCAGCAGCCCCGGCGAAGCGAGUCACUCUAGCAGCUGAGCCCAUGCACGCGGAGCCAAAAGCGCCGGGCGAGGGAGCGCGGUCCAAACCCGGGCGAGGCAAGCUUAGACGAAGCCCCCAAGCUUACCUCUUCGGCCUUGGCUGGAGGAAGGAAAAAGCAAAUCUCCACCAUUUUUUUUUAAUCACACCCGGUCUGGCUACCCUCGCUUCUCUCAAGGCAGAGCGAAGCUAAUGGCUAGGCUCUAUCCAAUGGCACCAGAAGCAGAGCCCAUGUGAUUGCUGGCGACGCCUUUUUUCCCCGCCUCGCAGUUCAGUUUUCCGUCCCUGGAAAUCUUCCUUGUGCUUCAGGCGAUUUUGUCUGGUACCCGCUCCUCUUCUGAGUUGUCUGAAUCUGAGUGCGUUCAGGGCCCAUUUCAGAUCUCCGUUUUGCACCGGCCAUCCAGCAAAGCUUUGGCAAGAGACUAUUGUCCUGGUUCUGACAGGUUUCUGCAUUGCACUUGCAAUCCUCCAAGCAGGCCAUUUUCUGCUUUCAGUAACCGCAGUCCUUGUUUCCGCAGUGGCCUCCACAGGCGCACCCGGUAAUCUUCCUUUGUGCCUCGGACGAUUUUGGCCAGCACCCACUCCUCUUCUGAGUCAUCUGAUUCUGAGAGCAACUCCUCAGGGCCCAUUUCAGAUCUCUGCUUUGCACUGGCCAUCCGGCGAAGCUUUGGCUGCUUGAGGGCUUCCAGCUCUUUGCAGAGUUCCUUAUUCUUCUCCAGCACCUCUUUCAGCUUUCCGUCCUGCAGCUGAGCGAUAAUUUAAAACAAUAUUUAACUGAACCUGUUAAGCUGCAACCCAUAUAUAUUCAACAGCACUCACAGUUCAUGCGUGUGGGUUUGUAAAGCUAGGCUACAUUACGUGCUUUCAGGUUAGUUUAGAUGUCAGCUUUCUUGGAUCCAGAAGAACUGAGUCUGAAAGAGGUCUGUUUGCCAGAUCCAUGGACUUGCCAAAGGAAUCCAGUAUGUUGUGUCAACCUAGCCUGUGUUGAAGGCUGAGUGGGUUGUAUGAAUACAGAAAACAAGACUGAAUAAAUGAUAAUGUUAAAUAUAAAUAAGCAUAGCAUGCGUACAUAGCAAUGUAAUAAACAUUAUGGUGCAGGUAGUCCUCAAUUGAGCCCAACAUUUAUGUUGCUAGGCAAGACAUUUGUUAAGUGAGUUUUGCCCCAUUUUACAAUCUUUCUUGUCACAUUUGUUAAGUGAAUCAUUGCAGUUGUCAAGUUAGUAAAUUAUUGAGUGAGUCUGACUUCCCGGUUAAGUUUGCUUGUCAGAAGGUUGCAGAAGGUGAUGAUAUGAACCCGGGAUGCUGCAACCAUCAUAAAUAUGAGUCAGUUGCUAAGUGUUCUGAAUUUUGACCAUGUGAACUAUGGGGAAUCUUUGUCAUAAGUGUGAAAAAUGGUCAUAAUAGAGAGAUUCAGGUUCUCAUCUACUGUUGGCUAUGGAAACUCACUCGUGAUUUUUGAUCAAUCAUUCUUUUCUCGGUCCAACCUACCUUGCAAGAUUAUUGUGGGAAUCCAAUGAAGGGAGUUCCCCGCAUAAACUGCCUUGAACAUCUGGAGGAAAGGAAGGACAAAUAUCUUAUAAAUAAUGGAUAAGCAAGUUUCCAUUAAAAGUACUAAAUGUAUUUUAAAUUUCGAUAAUAAAUAUUAACUAACAGUCAGGGUUUGAGAUAGAAAAGGUUCAAAGUUCCAAAUUAACUCAGCACAAAGCAUUAAUAGGUAAACAAAUUUAAAUUACAAAAGCUCAAAGAUUAAUUGGCAGCUCAAGCAUAAAAAAUGCCUUUAAUUUUAUUAACUCUUUGGCAAAACUGAAUAUACAGUAAGUACGCAUUUAAAAAAUUGAACUAUGAUGCACCAUUUCAUCCAAAUAAAGGUUAUGACAAUGAGAGUUUUAGUAGAAUAGACAUAAAUGCUUGAAAGAUAAACUUUUAUUAACUCUGCAUUAAUUCUUUACAGAAUAGUUAAGAACCCAGGAGGAUUCUGAGCUGUCUUGAAAACUACUGUAGUGUAAUGGGCCAUUAGAGUUUUCUCAUAUCACUGCCUGGGGGAGGGGAAAUGAAGUUAAAAGGGAGAGAUGUUUAUGUCAUGGGAAAUAUUUAACAGACUUAUUUUCCAAGCUGCACAUGACUUGGGAAAUAUCUAAGAUAUUUCUGCACUACUGAAGGGGGCAUAACAAAACUUAAUAUCUUAACUAGUAUAUGUCCAGUUAAGAGUCUAAAUACAUUUUGUGGGCUGUUCCUCUUUCAGGGAGGCCCAGCAUACAGAGCUACCAGAUCUGGGCUGCAAAAUGCACAAUAGAUAGCAGCAGAGAGUUGGGCUUUUCUCUAUCACCAUGUUGCCAUCUAAUGUUCAUUCCAAAUAUGGUUGCUUUGCUAAUGCAGUAAACUUUUCCAUAAUUCACUUUGAAUGUAACUACAAUGUGUAGAAUGUUAAGUACAGUGACCAUGCAAAAUCUGAUUUUACUUUGACCCUUCUGCUUUUAUUCUUGCAUCUCCAAACUCUUCUUGCUGAAUUUUUUUUAAAAUCACUAUUCAAGCAAUUAGGAUUAAAAAUAAUAUUUUAAAAUCAACUAGUCAAAUUGCUGUUUAAUGACUUUAGCAGACUUGACUUUUCUUCUUCGCAAAGAGCUCCCCCUGCUGACCAGUGUCCUUGUCUAAAGACCACAGCCACAAGCAUAGCCACACCGACCUGAAUGAAAACAAAUGAAGAAAAUGAUUACUCCAGUGCUUCAUGAUUUAAUAAAAUCAUGCUCGCUGAUCUGACUUUAAAACUUCAAGUGACAUUAAACAUUAUGGGUAUAUGGUAUAUGCCCCCUAGAUUAGACAUGACUGAACAGGGGAAACCUUUAUCUUUUUAAAGUAAUAAAAAAUGAAACUGCAGAUAUGUGAAAACCUUUGUGCAUUUACUGAAGCCUUGUUUAUCAAUUACAGAUACAUAAAACUGCAUAAAAGUGUUAGAUGUAUGUGUAUUAAAUGUUGCUGUUGAACGUUAUCUGAGUUUGGUGUUGGUUUCUACAUCUGUCUGAACUUAAGCUAAAAUUAAUAGAUAACCAAACCAGUUUAUGCAUAAGGUAGGAGUUGAAUGAACCAAUCAUUACAAAUGUUAGGUGCAGCUGUAGUUUAAUUUAGUUAUGCCAUUAAUAUUAUAAAACUAACCUUUACAUUAAAAAUUAGAAAAAUAAAUAAAUAUGAGAUAGAGAAAAGUCAUAUUCUUCUACUGUACAGGUGUCAAUCUUGAUUGCAUCAUGUGACGUCACAUGACAUAUUGCGAUGUUUUUUGCCUUUGCAGAGCCAGGGUGGGCGUGGUGUGCAUGUGAUGCAUCUGGCUCGCAGGCCACCUGUUUGAUACUCCUGUUCUUCUGCAUUUUCUUCUGAUGGAAAGCAGAAACCUACAAGAAAAUCAGAUUGUUCUUAGAAUUCUUUGCUAUUUCCACGCAGAUGAUGAGUAAAUUAGCAAAUAGAUUAAUGGUGAUCUCCC